AUGGAGUGGUCGGGGAGCCUCUCCCGCAACCCAGGCAAGGGCGCAUCACCGCAUGCAGGCACGGGUUCGUCCGCCCGCCGCCGCCGAAGGUUUGCAGGCACGGACUUGUCUGGCCGUCCACCGGGCUCGGCGUUCGCGCAACGUCUUUGUGGCCUGCCGAUGCCGCUCAUAGAGCGCGACGACUGCCCGCGCCAAGUGCUGCGGCUCACUUCGGGCACGCCGAAGCACUCCGGAUGGGUGUUCUACAAAUGCGAAAACGACGGGGACGAUGAAUGCUCAUUGUGGUUUUGGGAAGGCCAAUACAUUGAUUUGUUGAUAGAAAGAAACUUAAUAGAUGUCAGUGCACUCCUUAGUACAAUCGAAGGCAAUGAUGCGGUAGCAUGUGCAACUAGAGGGGAAGCAACGUCUACUUCUUUGAAACCAGAGAUGAAGAAUGAAGAAAGCAAGAUCAAGAAUCCGUAG
rnacentral:rRNA from 1 species